rnacentral:rRNA from 1 species
UACGUAGGGUGCAAGCGUUAAUCGGAAUUACUGGGCGUAAAGCGUGCGCAGGCGGUUGUGCAAGACAGAUGUGAAAGCCCCGGGGCUCAACCUGGGAAUGGCAUUUGUGACUGCACGGCUAGAGUGUGUCAGAGGGGGGUAGAAUUCCACGUGUAGCAGUGAAAUGCGUAGAGAUGUGGAGGAAUACCGAUGGCGAAGGCAGCCCCCUGGGAUAACACUGACGCUCAUGCACGAA